rnacentral:rRNA from 1 species
CCUACGGGUGGCUGCAGUGAGGAAUAUUGGUCAAUGGGCGGAAGCCUGAACCAGCAAAGUCGCGUGCAGGAUGACGGCCCUACGGGUUGUAAACUGCUUUUAUACGGGAAUAACGCGCCUUACGUGUAGGGCUUUGCAUGUACCGUAUGAAUAAGGACCGGCUAAUUCCGUUCCAGCAGCCGCGGUAAUAAGGACGGGCCGGGCGUUAUCCGGAUUUAUUGGGUUUAAAGGGAGCGUAGGCCGCAUGUCAAGCGUGCUGUGAAAUGUCCGGGCUCAACCCGUGCCUUGCAUCGCGAACUGGCGUGCUUGAGUCCGCGGAAAGCAGGCGGAAUUCGUCGUGUAGCGGUGAAAUGCUUAGAUAUGACGAAGAACCCCGAUGGCGAAGGCAGCUUGCUGCAGCGGAACUGACGCUGAGGCUCGAAAGCGCGGGGAGCGAACAGGAUUAGAUACCCGAGUAGUC